GUGUGAACAAGUUACACUUUCUGUCGGACCCAAUCUCCUCCUCCAAGGAGUCUUCAGAGCUGGUCAAAUUGCAGUUGCCGUUGACGCGAGGCGAAUCCAAAAUCCAUCUGCGUCGUCGAGCUGUGUCCACCCGUGAAGCAGCUGUGUCAUCGAGGUGCUCCUCUCUCUGUUCUAGGCACAUUCCUUGGUCUCUUGCCGUCAAUAGCCUUCCUCCCGCUGUCGCGUCAUCCGUGCAUCAAGUGGAUUGCCUAAUUCUCCCUUCGGUGGUGCUGGUUCUCCCGCAACCUCAUCUUUACACCCAUUUCGACCGUCCUGUACCGAAUCACUACCUGUUCCACAAACUUACACGAAUCGUGCUCAAAACUUGGAGGCUGCGAUGAAAACUUAGACCCAGAGGCAGAUAAGGUAGAUUAUUUUGAGCAACAUGUUGACAACCUGUUUGCUGCAUCAGAGGCUCCGAAGUACAAGGGACGCAUGACCACCGAAUUUUGGGAUGUUAAAACAAUUGAGUUUGAUGGGACAUUCAAGCAACUUCAUUUGAGUGUGAAGAAGGCUAUGAAGUCACCUAGCGGUAGAAAGAUUGUACUUAGGUUCAAUGAGAGACUGCAACCAGUUGGAAAUGAAGCUGGUAUACUGAGCGACGUUUUCGGAUUGCUAGGUUCUUACUACACCAAAUUCUCAAUAUGCAAGAAAGACUGGAGAAAGGUUCGUUCCAAGGAUAAGAUCUAUAACGAAUGUGUAAAGGUAAAACGUUAU